CCUACGGGAGGCAGCAGUAGGGAAUAUUGCUCAAUGGGGGAAACCCUGAAGCAGCAACGCCGCGUGGAGGAUGAAGGUUUUAGGAUUGUAAACUCCUUUUGUUAGAGAAGAUAAUGACGGUAUCUAACGAAUAAGCACCGGCUAAAUCCGUGCCAGCAGCCGCGGUAAUACGGAGGGUGCAAACGUUACUCGGAAUCACUGGGCGUAAAGCGCGCGUAGGCGGGAUAGCAAGGCAGGUGUGAAAUUCUAUGGCUUAAACACAGAACUGCCUUUUAAACUGUUAGUCUAGAGGAUGAGAGAGGUAAGUGGUAUUGUAGGGUGAAGGGGACAA
rnacentral:rRNA from 1 species